rnacentral:tRNA from 1 species
AAUGAUAUGCCUGAUAUAAAAGGAUUAUUAUGAUAUAAUAAAUUAUGUAAAUUAAAUUUACUAUCAUUA